CGUAGGUGGCAAGCGUUGUCCGGAAUUAUUGGGCGUAAAGCGCGCGCAGGCGGUUCCUUAAGUCUGAUGUGAAAGCCCCCGGCUCAACCGGGGAAGGUCAUUGGAAACUGGGGAACUUGAGUGCAGAAGAGAAGAGCGGAAUUCCACGUGUAGCGGUGAAAUGCGUAGAGAUGUGGAGGAACACCAGUGGCGAAGGCGGCUCCUUGGUCUGUAACUGACGCUGAGGCGCGAAAGCGUGGGGAGCAAACAGGAUUAGAUACCCUGGUAGUCCACGCCGUAAACGAUGAGUGCUAAGUGUUAGAGGGUUUCCGCCCUUUAGUGCUGCAGCUAACGCAUUAAGCACUCCGCCUGGGGAGUACGGCCGCAAGGCUG
rnacentral:rRNA from 1 species